CCAAGUAGCUGGGACUACAGGUGCCUGCCACAACACCUGGCUAUUUUUUUUUUUUUGCAGUUUUUGGCCGGGGCUGGGUUUGAACCCACCACCUCCAGCAUAUGGGGGUGGCACCUUACUCGGCUGAACCACAGGUACCGCCAGAACCUGCCUAUUUUUAGAGAUGAGGUCUCACUUUGGCUCAGGCUGGUCUGGAACCUGUGAGCGCAGGCAAUCCACCCACCUCAGCUUCCCAGAGUGCUGGGAUUAUAGGCAUGAGCCCUUGGCGCCCUGCCUGAAGUCUGCUAAUUUUUAACAACUUUUCUUUUUUUUUUUUUUUGCAGUUUUUGGCCAGGGUGGGGUUUGAACCCAUCACCUCUGGCAUAUGGGGCUGGUGCCCUACCCCUUCAGCCACAGGCACCGCCCAAUUUUUAACAACUUUUCAUAGAGCUGUUCUAGCUGUUGCCCAGGCUGUUCUCCAACUCCUGGCCUCAAUCAGCCCUCCUACCUCGGCCUCCUGAAGUGGCAGAACUAAAGACAUGAGCCACUGCAUCUGGGCUCCUUUUGCUUUUAAAAAAUGUACCAACUAGCCUUUUGGCUCGCUGAGCACCGUCAUGGCAGUCGGCAAGAACAAACGCCUUACAAAAGGCGGCAGAAAGGGAGCCAAGAAGAAAGUGGUUGAUCCAUUUUCUAAGGAAGAUUGGUCUGAUGUGAAGGCACCUGCUGUGUUCAAUAUAAGGAAUACUGGGAAAACGCUAGUCACCAGGACUCGAGGAAGCAAAAUUGCAUCUGAUGGCUUCAAAGGUCGUGUGUUUGAAGUGAGUCUUGCUGAUUUGCAGAAUGAUGAAGUUGUGUUUAGAAAAUUCAAGCUGAUUACUGAAGAUGUUCAGGGCAAAAACUGCCUAACUUCCAUGGCAUGGAUCUUACCCGUGACAAAAUGUGUUCUAUAGUUAAAAAAUGGCAGACUAUGAUUGAAGCUCAUGUUGAUGUUAAGACUACCGAUGGUUAUUUGCUUCGUCUGUUCUGUGUUGGUUUUACUAAAAAACGCAACAAUCAGAUACGGAAGACCUCUUACGCCCAGCACCAACAGGUUCGCCAAAUCUGGAAGAAUAUGAUGGAAAUCAUGACCAGAGAGGUGCAGACCAAUGACUUGAAAGAAGUUGUCAAUAAAUUGAUUCCAGAUAGCAUUGGAAAAGACAUAGAAAAGGCAUGCCAAUCUAUUUAUCCUCUCCAUGAUGUCUUCGUUAGAAAAGUAAAAGUGCUGAAGAAACCCAAGUUUGAAUUGGGAAAACUCAUGGAGCUUCCUGGUGAAGGUAGUAGCUCUGGAAAAGCUACUGGGGACAAGACACGUACUAAAGUUGAACGAGCUGAUGGAUAUGAACCACCAGUCCAAGAAUCUGUCUAAAAUUCAGGUUUUUAAUAAUGACAAAUAAAGAAUCCC